UACGUAGGGUGCGAGCGUUGUCCGGAAUUAUUGGGCGUAAAGAGCUCGUAGGUGGUUUGUCGCGUUGUUCGUGAAAACUCACAACUCAAUUGUGGGCGUGCGGGCGAUACGGGCAGACUGGAGUACUGCAGGGGAGACUGGAAUUCCUGGUGUAGCGGUGAAAUGCGCAGAUAUCAGGAGGAACACCGGUGGCGAAGGCGGGUCUCUGGGCCGAUACUGACGCUGAGGUGCGAAAGCUAGGGGAGCAAACAGG
rnacentral:rRNA from 1 species